rnacentral:rRNA from 1 species
AAAGCCUGAUCCAGCCAUGCCGCGUGUGUGAAGAAGGUCUUCGGAUUGUAAAGCACUUUAAGUUGGGAGGAAGGGCAGUAAGUUAAUACCUUGCUGUUUUGACGUUACCAACAGAAUAAGCACCGGCUAACUUCGUGCCAGCAGCCGCGGUAAUACGAAGGGGGCUAGCGUUGUUCGGAUUUACUGGGCGUAAAGCGCACGUAGGCGGACUUUUAAGUCAGGGGUGAAAUCCCGGGGCUCAACCCCGGAACUGCCUUUGAUACUGGAAGUCUUGAGUAUGGUAGAGGUGAGUGGAAUUCCGAGUGUAGAGGUGAAAUUCGUAGAUAUUCGGAGGAACACCAGUGGCGAAGGCGGCUCACUGGACCAUUACUGACGCUGAGGUGCGAAAGCGUGGGGAGCAAACA